GAUGAACGCUGGCGGCGUGCCUAAUACAUGCAAGUCGAGCGAACAGACGAUGAGCUUUCUCCCCUGACGGUAGCGGCGGACGGGCGAGUAACACGUGGAUAACCUACCUAUAAGACUGGGAUAACUUCGGGAAACCGGAUCUACUACCGGAUAAUAUAUCGAACCGCAUGGUUCAAUAGUUAAAGACGGUUUUGCUGUCACUUAUAGCCGAAGCCGCGCCGCAUUAGCUAGUUGGUAAGGUAACGGCUUACCAAGGCAACGAUGCGUAGCCGACCUGAGAGGGUGAUCGGCCACACUGGAACUGAGACACGGUCCAGACUCCUACGGGAGGCAGCAGUGGGGAAUAUUGCGCAAUGGGCGAAAGCCUGAUGCAGCAACGCCGCGUGAGUGAUGAAGGUCUUCGGAUCGUAAAACUCUGUUGUUAGGAAAGAACAAAAGUGUAUGUAACUAUGCCCGUCUUGACGGUACCUAAAGAGUAAGCACCGGCUAACUACGUG
rnacentral:rRNA from 1 species